CCUACGGGGGGCUGCAGUGAGGAAUAUUGGUCAAUGGGCGAGAGCCUGAACCAGCCAAGUCGCGUGAAGGAUGAAGGAUCUAUGGUUUGUAAACUUCUUUUAUAUGGGAAUAAAGUGAGGAACGUGUUCCUUUUUGUAUGUACCAUAUGAAUAAGCAUCGGCUAACUCCGUGCCAGCAGCCGCGGUAAUACGGAGGAUGCGAGCGUUAUCCGGAUUUAUUGGGUUUAAAGGGUGCGUAGGUGGUUAAUUAAGUCAGCGGUGAAAGUUUGUGGCUCAACCGUAAAAUUGCCGUUGAAACUGGUAUACUUGAGUAUAUUAGAGGUAGGCGGAAUGCGUGGUGUAGCGGUGAAAUGCAUAGAUAUCACGAAGAACUCCGAUUGCGAAGGCAGCUUACUGAACUGUAACUGACGCUGAUGCACGAAAGUGUGGGGAUCAAACAGGAUUAGAUACCCUUGUAGUC
rnacentral:rRNA from 1 species